UACGGGGGGGGCAAGCGUUGUUCGGAAUUACUGGGCGUAAAGGGCUCGUAGGCGGCCAACUAAGUCGGAUGUGAAAUCCCCAGGCUUAACCUGGGAACUGCAUCCGAUACUGGACGGCUUGAAUCCGGGAGAAGGAUGCGGAAUUCCAGGUGUAGCGGUGAAAUGCGUAGAUAUCUGGAGGAACACCGGUGGCGAAGGCGGCAUCCUGGACCGAUAUUGACGCUGAGGCGCGAAAGCCAGGGGAGCAAACGGG
rnacentral:rRNA from 1 species